AAUGAACGCUGGCGGCAGGCUUAACACAUGCAAGUCGAGCGCCCCGCAAGGGGAGCGGCAGACGGGUGAGUAACGCGUGGGAACGUACCCUUAUCUUCGUGAUAGCCCCGGGAAACUGGAAUUAAUACCGAAUGUGCCCUUUGGGGGAAAGAUUUAUCGGAUAAGGAUCGGCCCGCGUUGGAUUAGCUAGUUGGUGGGGUAAAGGCCUACCAAGGCGACGAUCCAUAGCUGGUCUGAGAGGAUGAUCAGCCACAUUGGGACUGAGACACGGCCCAAACUCCUACGGGAGGCAGCAGUGGGGAAUAUUGGACAAUGGGCGCAAGGCUGAUGCAGCCAUGCCGCGUGAGUGAUGAAGGCCGUAGGGUUGUAAAGCUCUUUCACCGGAGAAGAUAAUGACGGUAUCCGGAGAAGAAGCCCCGGCUAACUUCGUG
rnacentral:rRNA from 1 species